UACGUAGGUGGCGAGCGUUGUCCGGAUUUAUUGGGCGUAAAGCGCGCGCAGGCGGUUCGCUCCGUCCGGUGUGAAAUCUCCCGGCUCACCUGGGAGGGGGCGCUGGAGACUGGCGUACUGGAGGCAGGGAGAGGUCGGUGGAAUUCCCGGUGUAGUGGUGAAAUGCGUAGAGAUCGGGAGGAACACCAGUGGCGAAAGCGGCCGACUGGACCUGUCCUGACGCUGAGGCGCGAAAGCGUGGGGAGCGAACCGG
rnacentral:rRNA from 1 species